GAUGAACGCUAGCGACAGGCUUAACACAUGCAAGUCGAGGGGCAGCAUAAAAGUAGCAAUACUUUGGUGGCGACCGGCGCACGGGUGAGUAACGCGUAUGCAACCUACCUAUCAGAGGGGAAUAACCCGGCGAAAGUCGGACUAAUACCGCAUAAAACAGGGGCACCGCAUGGGUAUAUUUGUUAAAGAAAUUCGCUGAAAGAUGGGCAUGCGUUCCAUUAGGUAGUUGGUGAGGUAACGGCUCACCAAGCCGACGAUGGAUAGGGGAACUGAGAGGUUGGUCCCCCACACUGGUACUGAGACACGGACCAGACUCCUACGGGAGGCAGCAGUGAGGAAUAUUGGUCAAUGGGCGAGAGCCUGAACCAGCCAAGUCGCGUGAAGGAAGAAGGAUCUAUGGUUCGUAAACUCCUUUUGCAGGGGAAUAAAGUGCGGGACGUGUCCUGUUUUGUAUGUACCCUGAGAAUAAGGAUCGGCUAACUCCGUGCCAGCAGCCGCGGUAA
rnacentral:rRNA from 1 species